UACAACUCGUAUAAAUGCCACCGCUCUGCCUGCUCCAGUAUCAGAUAUUUCCCCCGAGAAACAUCCGACUCUUACUAACAUGGGCAAGGAAAGGACCAGCGUCAACAUGGCCGUCGUCGGCUACUACUAGACCUUCUAUCAGCAGAUGGACGGCUAGUACACAAACACGGACAUGACCCGGCUUCUGUACACGGACACGCUCUGGACACGGACGAUACGAUGCUAGGCUCUCCCGGAUUAUUAUAACUCAACAUGAUUGGCUUUUUAUGAAAUAUAUCAAAAUUCUUCCGUUUAA